rnacentral:pre_miRNA from 1 species
ACCAUUCUUUCCACUUUGGCGGAGCGAACGCUGGAGAGAGGGCGAGGAGGGUCUCGCCUUUUCUCAAGUGUUUGCUCUGGUAAAGUGGAAAAAAGUGGA